rnacentral:lncRNA from 1 species
AAGACAACACAUAUAAUAACGGAGUGUAUAAAGAUAAAUGUCACAAUAUAAUCAGAGUACUUAUUAUAUAGUGGAAGUCUUACAAAAUAAAAGAUAAAUAUAGAUCGAACUAAAGUCCAUCCUUGGCACCACAAAGUCAACUGGGAGACGCCACCUAGAUGGAAUCGAACACCUCGCUAUGUGGCUCCUCUUGAACCACCUGUUCUUCUCCUGUGGGGGGUGUGAGACAGCAAGGGUGAGCUCACACAUGUUCAUCACUCAACAAGUUGUGGGGAAUAAUGUGACAUGAACUCACCAAAGGUCGGAGUUCAUGUGAUGUGUAAAGCUGAUCAACAGUAGGGGUUAAAGAUGAGCAUUGCUUUUAAUAAGUUGGUCAAAUUUUAUUAGCAGUUACUAAGUGUAAGUAAAUAUCAAACCAUAAUAAAUAAUUGAACAAAAUUAAUAAGUAAUGACAUGCAAAUGCAAAUGACAAAUUAAAUUUAAGUUACAUAAAUUAAUCAUGUGAGAGUCCCGAGCUGCUCUUGACCAUGAGCUCGGCUAGUAUAUCAGUUUUACACUUUGUAGAGGUUGUACCCUAUACUCACAAGUCAUGUAUCCCAUGUCGCUAGGGUUAGCUAGACCCUUAAACACUACCGAGGUGAAUGGCUAGGGAUCCACUACGAGGCCUUUACAAAGUCCCACUAGCUUCCGAAAACCCGCUACAUUUUAUGGGAAGAGCAUUGCAAGAAUCUCUCGUCUGACCGCCAUCGCAGCAAAAUCAAUCCGAGAACCUCAUUGCAUGCAACUCCCCUACUGCCCUUGCCCCUUUCGGGUAAGGUAGUCUUCCACUAGCUUUCCUAAUUAGUCAGCCAAGGGCGUCCCAUUCCACCCUUAUGGUGGCACGUGUUUCUCAACUUAAGCUCCAUGUUCCAAUUAAAAUUAAUGAUCUUGACAUGAACAUAAAUAACAUAACAGAAUAAUUGGAACAUGGAUAUAAUAACCCAAAACCAUAUGAAGCAAUAGCAAAAACUACCCAAGUGAUUCAGGGGUAAACCAGGUAAAAGAUAAUCAGACUAGGGUGACCUAUUGAGUCCCAUCAAAAUUAAACCUAUGCAUUGAAUACUGAUAAUAAAGACAUUAUUGGGUAAUAGAAGUGGUCAAGGGCACAACUUGCCUAGCACUUGAGAUUGUAGGUACCAGGAUGAUUCUUCAAAUCCUCGUGACCUCACUGCUAGUCGUAGCAAUACAAACAAACAUGGUAUAUAUAAAAUUAACAUCACAUCAAACAUAAGUACAAACUGAAUAAUAAUAAUCUACGCGAUGCUAAGAGCUCGUGGGAUCGAGAACUACUAAGAUCGGAGUUACGAGUAAGAAGUUAUGAUUUUAUAGAAGAUCUAUGUGAUUAAUAUAUCAAUCUAUAUUAUAAAUUGGUUAAUAUAAAUCAUAUGAGAGGUUAUUCUAUAAAUAAUUAUCUGAACUUUAAUCUAGGUUAUGAAUUGACCAUAGAUCAUAUUCUAGUAGAUUAUAAUGAUAAGAAGUUUAGCCAGACUAACCGACAUAAAUUAAAUAAAGAUCUACUUAGAAAAGAAUGAGACAUGGUAUAAUAAAUGUUGUUAAUGCAUAGUAAAUAUUCAUAUAAAGCUAACGCAACUGAAACAGUUCAAUUCGGAGUUAAAAUGGGGAAGUUAUGAAUUUCCAAAGGUUUUAUGUAUUUGAUACAAGAUUAAUUUAAGAGAUUAAUUUUAAUGGGGCUUUCAUGUCAGAACAGUGGUACUAGAUGAUAAACAAUAAUCUUACAAAAUUAUAGAAACUGGAAUGGACUCAUUUGGACUUAAUAUGAAUUUUCUAGGGAUUAAACAAGUUUCCAUAAUUAAUUUUGUGUUAAAAAUCAUUUCUUAAAUGAAUUUCUCUGUUUUCCUAGAGGCCAGGACUGCGCAUCAAUUUCUGGAAAAUACAGGGUUCCUGGGGUAAGAUUUCCUAAGACACAGAUCUAUCCCGCGGGGGAUGGCGGGUUAAUUUCUAGCGAGUGCAGGGGUUCUUUAGCAAUACGUCAGCCGCGGAGGGGUAUGGAUGUUUCCCCACCACCGGAUUAGAAACGGACGGCACAGAUUGAACUAAGGUACCGUUUGGUUCAAAUAUUUGUAACGUAAUGGGUAAGUGAUAACGUUAAAUCAUGUUUGUUUUAGUUUAACCGUAAUCAGAUACCAUACUAAAAAUUGAUACCGGACUAUUCAAACUUGUUACCGCCCGUAAUCGAGUGUAAACCAUUACCAUUAUCCUUUACGUUACAUUUCGUGAACCAAACAGCACCUAACUUCAUCUCAAACCGGUACCCCAUCCUGGCUGUCAGAUCGCCAUCCAACGGUUUAGGUUUUAUACAGGUGAGAUCGAUCUGCACGCGCAGGAUCGGGAUCGGACGAACCAUAUCCACUCAUACAAAACGAUGCCCCAGAUUCUAAUCUGCGCCGCCAAAUCCCCAUCCAACAACCAGCCGUUAAAUACCCGCAGACCACUCUCUUUCGUUCCUCAGCUGAUCUAUGGUUGCGAUGCAUCCUAUCACACUGCCCCUGAUGACUCAAUCCCGAUCGCUAAAAACAGAAUCAACGGCCCACGCCGUUCUUCUUCCCCCAGCACGGACACAGCAGCGCCCAGGCUAGAGCGGCGGUGGCUUCACCGGAGGUUUCCGAUCCGACACCACAAAGCGUCCCAAAUCCGACCGGCAAUGGACUCGCAACUACGGAGGUGAGACGAACAGGAUAGUGUAGGGCUUACCUACGAUUCAGUGUACCAACGGCGCUGGCGACAAAUUCCGUGGGCUUCCCCGGCCCACGACUCUGAUGAACCUGCUCCUGAUGAUCCCGCCGGGCUUCUAGAUGGCACGCCCCAGCCGGAUGGUCACCCCAAGCGCGGAUCGACGGUGGCGGCUGCGCACACAGCACAGCGCCCAGACGGUGGUGGUGUUGCGAUACAAGAAGGGGGUUCCUGACCUGGUGAGCUAUGGUAAAGGAAGCGCCGCAUUUAUAUGGCCGAACCCCCGAACCAUGGCCAGAGGAGAUCGGUAGUUGGGGCGCGUGAUUUGGGGCGGGCACGGAGCUGCUCGCAAAUUCCGUGGACGGUUGAAGAAGACGCGGUCCUGGGUGGCCCAC